rnacentral:rRNA from 1 species
UACGGAGGGUGCGAGCGUUAUCCGGAAUUACUGGGUUUAAAGGGUGCGUAGGCGGCUUGGUAAGUCAGGAGUGAAAGUUUGCAGCUCAACUGUAAAAUUGCUUUUGAUACUGCCGAGCUGGAAUCAGGAUGAGGUCAGCGGAAUGUGGCAUGUAGCGGUGAAAUGCAUAGAUAUGCCAUAGAACACCAAUUGCGAAGGCAGCUGGCUAGACCUGUAUUGACGCUGAGGAACGAAAGCGUGGGGAGCGAACAGG